GACGAACGCUGGCGGCGUGCUUAACACAUGCAAGUCGAACGGAAAGGCCCUGCUUUUGUGGGGUGCUCGAGUGGCGAACGGGUGAGUAACACGUGAGUAACCUGCCCUUGACUUUGGGAUAACUUCAGGAAACUGGGGCUAAUACCGGAUAGGAGCUCCUGCUGCAUGGUGGGGGUUGGAAAGUUUCGGCGGUUGGGGAUGGACUCGCGGCUUAUCAGCUUGUUGGUGGGGUAGUGGCUUACCAAGGCUUUGACGGGUAGCCGGCCUGAGAGGGUGACCGGCGAGAUUGGGACUGAGAUACGGCCCAGACUCCUACGGGAGGCAGCAGUGGGGAAUAUUGCACAAUGGGCGGAAGCCUGAUGCAGCAACGCCGCGUGCGGGAUGACGGCCUUCGGGUUGUAAACCGCUUUCGCCUGUGACGAAGCGUGAGUGACGGUAAUGGGUAAAGAAGCACCGGCUAACUACGUG
rnacentral:rRNA from 1 species